rnacentral:rRNA from 1 species
UACGUAGGGUGCGAGCGUUGUCCGGAAUUAUUGGGCGUAAAGAGCUUGUAGGCGGCUUGUCGCGUCUGCUGUGAAAAUCCGAGGCUCAACCUCGGACUUGCAGUGGGUACGGGCAGGCUAGAGUGUGGUAGGGGAGACUGGAAUUCCUGGUGUAGCGGUGAAAUGCGCAGAUAUCAGGAGGAACACCGAUGGCGAAGGCAGGUCUCUGGGCCACUACUGACGCUGAGGAGCGAAAGCAUGGGGAGCGAACAGG